CUGUCAACCCUGAUCAGAUCAUCCGAAUCAUGCUCAACCCAAACAGUCCUGUGACUCCUCACUAGGACUACCCUAGUCAAGGUUUUGCUAAAUUGAAACACGACUGUACACAGCUCUUGAACUGGAGUGGUCAAUCCCAUCUUGACACACGCAUUGACAAGUCAAGUACUUGACUACCCCCAGGAGCCUUCCGUCACUGAAUUAGAAAUUCAAGUAGUCCAGUGCCUAAGUUUAGUGAGUUGCUUGCAAGUCACCAUGACGGUCUU
rnacentral:lncRNA from 1 species